GAAUUGACGGGGGCCCGCACAAGCGGUGGAGUAUGUGGUUUAAUUCGACGCAACGCGAAGAACCUUACCAAGCCUUGACAUUGAUUGCCAGGGACAGAGAUGUCCCGUUCCUCUUCGGAGGACAAGAAAACAGGUGGUGCACGGCUGUCGUCAGCUCGUGUCGUGAGAUGUUGGGUUAAGUCCCGCAACGAGCGCAACCCCUAUCUUCUGUUACCAGCGAGUUAAGUCGGGGACUCAGGAGAGACUGCCGCAGACAAUGCGGAGGAAGGCGGGGAUGACGUCAAGCCAUCAUGCCCCUUAUGGCUUGGGCUACACACGUACUACAAUGGCUCUUAAUAGAGGGAAGCGAAGGAGCAAUCCGGAGCAAACCCCAAAAACAGAGUCCCAGUUCGGAUUGCAGGCUGCAACCCGCCUGCAUGAAGCAGGAAUCGCUAGUAAUCGCAGGUCAGCAUACUGCGGUGAAUACGUUCCCGGGCCUUGUACACACCG
rnacentral:rRNA from 1 species